ACAAGGUCGUGACUUUUGCAGAAUAAAUACAGUUUUUCGUCUAUGCGUUCUGACGGACAUUUCUUUUACGUAUCGAAGAAAAAAACUAACAAUGGCAUGGAACCCCGUCUGUGUUGUGUUUUGUGCGCUGUCAGUCUUCAGCAUAAGUACAGCGUUAAAACCACGCCCACCGUCUGUGUCGUCGCUGACUAGCCAGGACUUUUUUAACGAUUAUAUCGCAGCUGAAUGUGUUGUGACGGGAUAUCCACUUCCAAG